UUUCACUUUACCCCUCUGCAGGUCCUGGUGGGGCUGAGAUGCACAACGUCUCACCCUGGAAACUGUAAAGAACCAGUCUUCCGAUGAAGCUUGAGCAGGGUCUCAGCGCUUAGAGACUUCCAGGAACUACAGUUCCCAGAACACACAGCAUUCAGUUGCUGUCCAAGUGGUUGGGUUUGAACUAGAACAAGGAAAUCUCACCUGUCCUGGGAACUGAGCGUCCUGGCCUGUUCCAGGUUUGCUGAGAACCUGCUAUGUGGCAGCCUGAGGUGGGAGUGAGGGGUUGACAAGAGAGACUCACCGUUCAUCCUCACAGUCAGAUGGAGACAGAUCCAUGAAAGGUCGGAGGCUGGCUGGGUACCCUCUGUGAUCUAGCACGUAGUAAGUGACCAACAAAUCAACAAGCAAAUAAAAACUAUCUCACUCUU